GCCGGUGUAGCUCAAUUGGUAGAGCAACUGACUUGUAAUCAGUGGGUUGAGGGUUCGAUUCCUUUCGCCGGCACCA
rnacentral:tRNA from 1 species